rnacentral:rRNA from 1 species
GACGUAGGGUGCGAGCGUUGUCCGGAUUUAUUGGGCGUAAAGAGCUCGUAGGCGGUUCCGUAAGUCAGAUGUGAAAACUCAGGGCUCAACCCGGAGACGCCAUCUGAUACUGCGGUGACUGGAGUCUGGUAGGGGAACACGGAAUUCCUGGUGUAGCGGUGAAAUGCGCAGAUAUCAGGAGGAACACCGAUGGCGAAGGCAGUGUUCUGGGCCAGUACUGACGCUGAGGAGCGAAAGCGUGGGGAGCAAACAGG